CUCUGGCUGGGAAGGAAACAUGAGCACAGCAGUGGAGAGCAUCCUAACUGAUAGCGGCAAACAGCUGUUGAAUCUGCGGUAAAAACACUCUAAAGACAGGAGGCAGUCUCUUCCAGCAUAAGAGGUGUUAAUCACGUACUAAGAACCGAACUUUUAAUUCAACCAGAAAGAUGUGGAGUUGGUUUCAUUCUGGGAGUUGAAAUUACAUCUUGUGGGUCAUCAUUAUGCAGCCAAGCCGUGUGAGGAGAUGUUUGGCCAGGAGUAUGGAAACCUAGGAGCAAACAGCAGGUAAUCAAAGAUGGCUGAAAGCAAAGAGGAUUCUGCCACUCAGCAGUGAUGGUGACACCAGUGAUUGAACUCUUUCUAUUUCAGAAGAUUUCACAAAAGCUCAGGAAACUACCAUCACUGCAUCAGAGACCUCUAAAAGAGAAGAGGGUAAUGGGAUACUGUACAGUAAUGACUUCCUGCCAUGCCUCAUAGCAUUUUCAUGUACACAUUCAAGAAUCGGUG